UAACGCGAAGAACCUUACCUACUCUUGACAUCCAGAGAACUUAGCAGAGAUGCUUUGGUGCCUUCGGGAACUCUGAGACAGGUGCUGCAUGGCUGUCGUCAGCUCGUGUUGUGAAAUGUUGGGUUAAGUCCCGCAACGAGCGCAACCCUUAUCCUUUGUUGCCAGCGAUUCGGUCGGGAACUCAAAGGAGACUGCCGGUGAUAAACCGGAGGAAGGUGGGGAUGACGUCAAGUCAUCAUGGCCCUUACGAGUAGGGCUACACACGUGCUACAAUGGCGCAUACAAAGAGAAGCGACCUCGCGAGAGCAAGCGGACCUCACAAAGUGCGUCGUAGUCCGGAUCGGAGUCUGCAACUCGACUCCGUGAAGUCGGAAUCGCUAGUAAUCGUGGAUCAGAAUGCCACGGUGAAUACGUUCCCGGGCCUUGUAC
rnacentral:rRNA from 1 species